GUCCAGGAUGGCGCAGUGGUUAACGCACCUGCCUAGUGAGCAGGGGAUCCUGGGUUUGAAUCCCAGUCCGGUACU